UACAGAGGUCCCAAGCGUUGUUCGGAUUCACUGGGCGUAAAGGGUGCGUAGGUGGCGGGGUAAGUUUGAUGUGAAAUCUCCGAGCUUAACUCGGAAAUGGCAUUGAAUACUAUUCUGCUGGAGGUUUGGAGGGGGGACUGGAAUUCUCGGUGUAGCAGUGAAAUGCGUAGAUAUCGAGAGGAACACCAGUGGCGAAGGCGAGUCCCUGGACAACACCUGACACUGAGGCACGAAAGCUAGGGGGGCAAACAGG
rnacentral:rRNA from 1 species